AUCGGAAAUCAUCUUAUAUCGGCUAGUGACUAUAUCAGACUUGGCCCUUCUGCUCCGAAUGACGUAUAAGGUCGUCUAAAGUCAAAACAUCUCGUAUGAAGUUCGUCCAGGACGUAAACCUAACCAGUUUCUCGUCAAAAAUCAAGACACCGAUGAACCUGUUCAAGAGGGCACUUACGGA